rnacentral:snRNA from 1 species
AUCUUCUUUGGUAGAAUUCCAAA